CAGGACUUCGGUUCUUUUUGUUGGUUCUAGAAUUGAUCUAAUGGUUAAGAGGGACAAACCGGGGGCAUUCGUAUCAUUACGCGAGAGGUGAAAUUCGUGGACCGUAGUGAGACGCCCAAUAGCGAAAGCAUUUGCCAAGAAUGUCUUCAUUAAUCAAGAACGAAAGUCAGAGGUUCGAAGGCGAUUAGAUACCGCCCUAGUUCUGACCGUAAACGAUGCCAUCUCGCGAUUCGGAGGGUUCAUGCCCUACCGAGGAGCUACCCCGGAAACGAAAGUCUUUCGGUUCCGGGGGUAGUAUGGUUGCAAAGCUGAAACUUAAAGAAAUUGACGGAAGGGCACCACAAGGCGUGGAGCUUGCGGCUUAAUUUGACUCAACACGGGAAAACUCACCCGGUCCGGACACUAUUAGGACUGACAGAUUGAAAGCUCUUUCUCGAUUUGGUGGUUGGUGGUGCAUGGCCGUUCUUAGUUGGUGGAGUGAUUUGUCUGGUUUAUUCCGAUAACGAGCGAGACUCUAGCCUGCUAAAUAGUCGACGAAUCUUACGGGUUCGUAUAACUUCUUAGAGGGAUAAGCGGUGUUAGCCGCACGAGAUUGAGCGAUAACAGGUCUGUGAUGCCCUUAGAUGUCCGGGGCUGCACGCGUGCUACACUGGUGGAGUCAGCGGGUUUUUCCUAUGCCGUAAAGGUAUCGGUAAACCGUUGAACUUCUUCCAUGUCCGGGAUAGGGUAUUGUAAUUAUUACCCUUAAACGAGGAAUGCCUAGUAAGUGUGAGUCAUCAGCUCACGUUGAUUACGUCCCUGCCCUUUGUACACACCGCCCGUCGCUAUCCGGGACUGAACUGAUUCGAGAAGAGUGGGGACUGUGGCUGCGAGGUUUUACCACUUCGCAGUUGCGGAAACCAUUUUUAUCGCAUUGGUUUGAACCGGGUAAAAGUCGUAACAAGGUAGCUGUAGGUGAACCUGCAGCUGGAUCAUCG
rfam:Caenorhabditis japonica strain DF5081 Contig9752.1, whole genome shotgun sequence.